AUUGAACGCUGGCGGCAGGCCUAACACAUGCAAGUCGAACGAGUGGCGGAAGGGUGAGUAAUGUCUGGGAAACUGACCGAUUGAGGGGGAUAACUACUGGAAAAGGUAGCUAAUACCGCAUACCAUCGGAUGUGCCCAGAUGGGAUUAGCUAGUAUGUGGGGUAACGGCUCACCUAGGCGACGAUCCCUAGCUGGUCUGAGAGGAUGACCAGCCACACUGGGACUUAGACACGUUCCAGACUCCUAAGGGAUGCAGCAGUGGGGAAUAUUGCACAAUGGGCGAAAGCCGGAUGCAGCCAUGCCGCUUGUAUGAAGAAGGCCUUCGGGUUGUAAAGUACUUUCAGCGGGGAGGCGUUACCCGCAGAAGAAGCACCGGCUAACUCCGUGCCAGCAGCCGCGGUAAUUC
rnacentral:rRNA from 1 species